CCUACGGGAUGCAGCAGUGGGGAAUAUUGCACAAUGGGGGAAACCCUGAUGCAGCCAUGCCGCGUGUGUGAAGAAGGCCUUCGGGUUGUAAAGCACUUUCAGUAGGGAGGAAGGUAGUGUAGUUAACACCUGCAUUAUUUGACGUUACCUACAGAAGAAGCACCGGCUAACUCCGUGCCAGCAGCCGCGGUAAUACGGAGGGUGCGAGCGUUAAUCGGAAUUACUGGGCGUAAAGCGCAUGCAGGCGGCCUGUUAAGUCAGAUGUGAAAGCCCGGGGCUUAACCUCGGAAUUGCAUUUGAAACUGGCAGGCUAGAGUCUUGUAGAGGGGGGUAGAAUUUCAGGUGUAGCGGUGAAAUGCG
rnacentral:rRNA from 1 species